rnacentral:rRNA from 1 species
GACAGAGGGUGCAAACGUUGUCCGGAAUUAUUGGGCGUAAAGGGCUCGUAGGCGGUCUGUUGCGUCGGGAGUGAAAACUCAGGGCUUAACCCUGAGCCUGCUUCCGAUACGGGCAGACUAGAGGUAUGCAGGGGAGAACGGAAUUCCUGGUGUAGCGGUGAAAUGCGCAGAUAUCAGGAGGAACACCGGUGGCGAAGGCGGUUCUCUGGGCAUUACCUGACGCUGAGGAGCGAAAGUGUGGGGAGCGAACAGG